rnacentral:rRNA from 1 species
CGCAAUGGGCGAAAGCCUGACGGAGCGACGCCGCGUGACUGAUGAAGUCCUUCGGGACGUAAAGGUUUUUUGUGAAGUAGAAAGUAAUUGAUCGCUUCAAGAAUAAGGGGUUGCUAAACUCGUGCCAGCAGCAGCGGUAAUACGAGUGCCCCAAGCGUUAUCCGGAAUUAUUGGGCGUAAAGGGUGUGUAGGCGGUUGUGUUAGUCUUUUGUUAAAGCUCCCGGCUUAACCGGGAAGAUGCAAAAGAAACGGCACAACUAGAGGGUGCGAGAGGUGAACAGAACUCAUAGUGUAGGGGUGAAAUCCGUUGAUAUUAUGGGGAAUACCAAAAGCGAAGGCAGUUCACUGGCGCAUUCCUGACGCUGAGACACGAAAGCGU